rnacentral:misc_RNA from 1 species
GAUGAAGAACGUAGCGAAAUGCGAUAAGUAAUGUGAAUUGCAGAAUUCAGUGAAUCAUCGAAUCUUUGAACGCAUCUUGCGCUCCUUGGUAUUCUGAGGAGCAUGCCUGUUUGAGUGUCAUUAAAUUCUCAACCGCACUGACUUUGAAUUGGUGUGGCUUGGAUUUGGGGGGAAAAUUGUUGUGGGCUUUUUUGUAUAGUCUGCUCCCCUGAAAUUGAUUAGCGGUACCUUUGUGGAACUGUCUACAGGUGUGAUAAUUAUCUACAUCCUAGACAUCUGCUGGAAUGCUGCUUUCUAAACCUUACUUGUAUUGACAAUCUUGAACUCAAAUCAGGUAGGACUACCCGCUGAACUUAAGCAUAUCAAUAAGCGGAGGA